rnacentral:rRNA from 1 species
GAUGAACGCUGGCGGCGUGCCUAAUACAUGCAAGUCGAGCGAACGGACGAGAAGCUUGCUUCUCUGAUGUUAGCGGCGGACGGGUGAGUAACACGUGGAUAACCUACCUAUAAGACUGGGAUAACUUCGGGAAACCGGAGCUAAUACCGGAUAAUAUUUUGAACCGCAUGGUUCAAAAGUGAAAGACGGUCUUGCUGUCACUUAUAGAUGGAUCCGCGCUGCAUUAGCUAGUUGGUAAGGUAACGGCUUACCAAGGCAACGAUGCAUAGCCGACCUGAGAGGGUGAUCGGCCACACGGGAACGGAGACACGGUCCAGACUCCUACGGGAGGCAGCAGUAGGGAAUCUUCCGCAAAGGGCGAAAGCCUGACGGAGCAACGCCGCGUGAGUGAUGAAGGUCUUCGGAUCGUAAAACUCUGUUAUUAGGGAAGAACAUAUGUGUAAGUAACUGUGCACAUCUUGACGGUACCUAAUCAGAAAGCCACGGCUAACUACGUG